rnacentral:sRNA from 1 species
AAGAAGUAGAGUGGCUCAUAAGUGGUUUCUUCAGACUACUUCACGGAUCCAAGACUUCCCAACAAGAUUCACAUACAGCUAAUUAAAGACAAGAAAGCGGCUUAAUUAGCAAAAUCAUGAUGCUCAGCUGUUGGGAGAGACCAGACGGAAUCCAGCCUCGGGGGUCAUCUGGAGGCAUGAGAGCCCUACUGCCAUCAGUGUGGGUUUCCAAGCUGCCUUGGGCUCUGUCUACUGUCGCAAAAGCUUUUAAAGAUAUUCAUUAAACACGGACCUUCCUGCUCUCUCUGCUUUAUUUCACUCAAGAGGAGGAAGCCAUCCUUCAGGGGAGGGCUGCUGCGCCCCACUUUGACGUGUGAGGCAGCCGGCCUGUUUCUGCUUUCAGGGCGGCCAGGGGCCUCUUGCUGGGUCAGUGGGCUGUCGUGCCCACCCCCUGGGAAGAACACAGCUGAUCACGGGGGCACAGAAACAAGCGAGUCCAUG